GACGAACGCUGGCGGCGUGCUUAACACAUGCAAGUCGAACGGAAAGGCCCUGCUUUUGUGGGGUGCUCGAGUGGCGAACGGGUGAGUAACACGCGAGUAACCUGCCCUUGACUUUGGGAUAACUCCAGGAAACUGGGGCUAAUACCGGAUAGGAGCUCCUGCUCCAUGGUGGGGGUUGGAAAGUUUCGGCGGUUGGGGAUGGACUCGCGGCUUAUCAGCUUGUUGGUGGGGUAGUGACUUACCAAGGUUGUGACGGGUAGCCGGCCUGAGAGGGUGACCGGGCACAAUGGGACUGAGAGACGGCCCAGACUCCUACGGGAGGCAGCAGUGGGGAAUAUUACACAAUGGGCGGAAGCCUGAUGCGGCAACGCCGCGUGCGGGAAGACGGCCUUCGGGUUGUAAACCGCUUUCGACUGUGACGAAGCGUGAGUGACGGUAAUGGGUAAGGAAGCACCGGCUAACUACGUG
rnacentral:rRNA from 1 species